GGUGAGAUGUCCGAGUGGAUUAAGGAACGUACUUGGAAAGUACGAGUAUAUGAUAUAUACCGAGGGUUCGAAUCCCUCUCUCACCG
rfam:Candidatus Riesia pediculicola TSDA, complete genome.